UGGGGAAUCUUGGACAAUGGGCGAAAGCCUGAUCCAGCCAUGCCGCGUGUGUGAAGAAGGUCUUCGGAUUGUAAAGCACUUUAAGUUGGGAGGAAGGGCAGUUACCUAAUACGUGAUUGUUUUGACGUUACCGACAGAAUAAGCACCGGCUAACUCUGUGCCAGCAGCCGCGGUAAUACAGAGGGUGCAAGCGUUAAUCGGAAUUACUGGGCGUAAAGCGCGCGUAGGUGGUUUGUUAAGUUGGAUGUGAAAGCCCCGGGCUCAACCUGGGAACUGCAUCCAAAACUGGCAAGCUAGAGUACGGUAGAGGGUGGUGGAAUUUCCUGUGUAGCGGUGAAAUGCGUAGAUAUAGGAAGGAACACCAGUGGCGAAGGCGACCACCUGGACUGAUACUGACACUGAGGUGCGAAAGCGUGGGGAGCAAACAGGAUUAGAUACCCUAGUAGUCCCUGAGCGGGCUGGCAAGGCGCAU
rnacentral:rRNA from 1 species